UCGCUUUGAAACCUGCCCACUGGUCAUAAAAUGGCGGCUACUUCUAGCGUUUGCAGUUUGCACAUGUAUGUAGCUCUCGUGUUCCAUUUUGCAUAUUUUUGGUAUUGAAAUCGAAGUGUAAGUGCGUCGAGUCGAGCCUUGUGCUCCUCCGCCUUGCUGUUGCGAAUUCACUCCAAAAAUCUACUUAUUCUGUGUAUUUCUACUUUUUGUGAUAGAGACACUUUUGUUUGUGGAAUUUAUGAACUUUGGUGUAAUGCCGAGACGUUGUGCUUUCGGUUGUGCGCUCCGUGGACAACUACAGAGUCAAGUAAUCUUAGGACAAGCUUCAUCCACACAACAUUUACUGCCUACAAUAAUACAACAAGACUGUUCAGAGCCAUAUGUGAGCAACUUUAUUUUAGAAAAAGCAUCAACUUCAACAUUCCAUCCUGUGA